UACCAGCACCCCGAGUGGUCGGGACGAUUAUUGGGCCUAAAGCAUCCGUAGCCGGUUCUACAAGUCUUCCGUUAAAUCCACCUGCUUAACAGAUGGGCUGCGGAGGAUACUAUAGAGCUAGGAGGCGGGAGAGGCAAGCGGUACUUAGUGGGUAGGGGUAAAAUCCGUUGAUCCAUUGGAGACCACCAGUGGCGAAGGCGGCUUGCCAGAACGCACUCGACGGUGAGGGAUGAAAGCUGGGGGAGCAAACCGG
rnacentral:rRNA from 1 species